GACGUAGGUGGCGAACGUUAUCCGGAAUUACUGGGCGUAAAGCGUGCGCAGGCGGUUUUGUAAGCCAGAUGUGAAAGCCCCGGGCUCAACCUGGGAAUGGCAUUUGGGACUGCAAGGCUGGAGUUUGGCAGAGGAGACUGGAAUUCCUGGUGUAGCAGUGAAAUGCGUAGAUAUCAGGAGGAAUACCGAUGGCGAAGGCAGGUCUCUGGGCUAUAACUGACGCUCAUGCACGAAAGCGUGGGGAGCAAACAGG
rnacentral:rRNA from 1 species